AAUUAAUAUUAAUGAACCUUGUCAAAACUGGUACGGACUAGGGAAAUCCAAUUGGUUAAUUAAAACAAAGCAUUGUGAUGGUCCAUGUGGAUGUUAACACAAUGUGAUUUAUGCCUAGUGCUCUGCAUGUCAAAGUGAAUAAAUUCAACCAAGCGCGGGUAAACGAUGGGAGUAACUAUGACUCUCUUAAGGUAUUCAAAUUCCUCCGUGUCAUCUAAUUAGUGACACACAUGAAUGGACUAACGAGAUUCCCACUGUCCCAAGCUACUAUCUAGAGAAACCACAACCAAGGGAACGAGCUUGGCAGAAUUAGAGGGGAAAGAAGACCAUGUUGAGCUUGAAUCUAGUCCAACUUUGUGAAAUGACUUGAGAGGUACAGAAUAAGUGGGAGUUGUUUUCAGUGCAAGUGAAAUACCACUAAUUUUAACGUUAUUUUACUUAUUUUUGGGGGAAGAAAUGAGGCAUUGCACAUAUGUUAAAAUAUAAUGCACAUUUCCUCAAAGUGUUGUCAUUGAUGCCAAUGGUCAAAAGCUCAUUCUUCACACACUUGAUGGAAAUGAGUUUAGGAAACCAAAGAGGAUCAUUGCUUUUAAGGAUGAAGAAAGUUCCUACAAUCCCUAUGUUUUUAGCCAACAUCCCCCUAUAAGU
rnacentral:ncRNA from 1 species